rnacentral:rRNA from 1 species
GACGAACGCUGGCGGCGUGCCUAAUACAUGCAAGUCGAACGCUGAAGGAGGAGCUUGCUUCUCUGGAUGAGUUGCGAACGGGUGAGUAACGCGUAGGUAACCUGCCUGGUAGCGGGGGAUAACUAUUGGAAACGAUAGCUAAUACCGCAUAAUAGUAGAUGUUGCAUGACAUUUGCUUAAAAGGUGCAAUUGCAUCACUACCAGAUGGACCUGCGUUGUAUUAGCUAGUUGGUGGGGUAACGGCUCACCAAGGCGACGAUACAUAGCCGACCUGAGAGGGGGGUCAGCCGCCCUGGGAGUGAGACACGGCCCAGACGCCCACAGGAGGGAGCCAUAGUGAAACGUCAGCAAUCGGCGGGAAUCAGUGCGCGAUGCGCCGAGUGAGUGUGGAGCGUUGUCGGGUCGUGGAGCUCUGUUGUAAGGGAAGAACGAGUGUGAGAGUGGGAAGUUCACUCUGUGACGGUAUCUUACCAGGAAGGGACGGCUAACUACGUG